rnacentral:rRNA from 1 species
AACGAACGCUGGCGGCAUGCCUAAUACAUGCAAGUCGAACGAGAUCUUCGGAUCUAGUGGCGCACGGGUGCGUAACGCGUGGGAAUCUGCCCUUGGGUUCGGAAUAACAGUUGGAAACGACUGCUAAUACCGGAUGAUGACGUAAGUCCAAAGAUUUAUCGCCCAAGGAUGAGCCCGCGUAGGAUUAGCUAGUUGGUGAGGUAAAGGCUCACCAAGGCUACGAUCCUUAGCUGGUCUGAGAGGAUGAUCAGCCACACUGGGACUGAGACACGGCCCAGACUCCUACGGGAGGCAGCAGUAGGGAAUAUUGGACAAUGGGCGAAAGCCUGAUCCAGCAAUGCCGCGUGAGUGAUGAAGGCCUUAGGGUUGUAAAGCUCUUUUACCCGGGAUGAUAAUGACAGUACCGGGAGAAUAAGCCCCGGCUAACUCCGUGCCAGCAGCCGCGGUAAUACGGAGGGGGCUAGCGUUGUUCGGAAUUACUGGGCGUAAAGCGCACGUAGGCGGCGAUUUAAGUCAGAGGUGAAAGCCCGGGGCUCAACCCCGGAAUAGCCUUUGAGACUGGAUUGCUUGAACAUCGGAGAGGUGAGUGGAAUUCCGAGUGUAGAGGUGAAAUUCGUAGAUAUUCGGAAGAACACCAGUGGCGAAGGCGGCUCACUGGACGAUUCU